rnacentral:rRNA from 1 species
AUUGAACGCUGGCGGCAGGCUUAACACAUGCAAGUCGAGCGGGGGAAGGUAGCUUGCUACCGGACCUAGCGGCGGACGGGUGAGUAAUGCUUAGGAAUCUGCCUAUUAGUGGGGGACAACAUCUCGAAAGGGAUGCUAAUACCGCAUACGUCCUACGGGAGAAAGCAGGGGAUCUUUGGACCUUGCGCUAAUAGAUGAGCCUAAGUCGGAUUAGCUAGUUGGUGGGGUCAAGGCCUACCAAGGCGACGAUCUGUAGCGGGUCUGAGAGGAUGAUCCGCAACACUGGGACUGAGACACGGCCCAGACUCCUACGGGAGGCAGCAGUGGGGAAUAUUGGACAAUGGGGGGAACCCUGAUCCAGCCAUGCCGCGUGUGUGAAGAAGGCCUUAUGGUUGUAAAGCACUUUAAGCGAGGAGGAGGCUACUUUAGUUAAUACCUAGAGAUAGUGGACGUUACUCGCAGAAUAAGCACCGGCUAACUCUGUGCCAGCCGCCGCCGUAA